UACGUAGGGUGCGAGCGUUAAUCGGAAUUACUGGGCGUAAAGCGUGCGCAGGCGGUUUUGUAAGACAGGUGUGAAAUCCCCGGGCUUAACCUGGGAACUGCGCUUGUGACUGCAAGACUCGAGUACGGCAGAGGGGGGUGGAAUUCCACGUGUAGCAGUGAAAUGCGUAGAGAUGUGGAGGAACACCGAUGGCGAAGGCAGCCCCCUGGGUCAACACUGACGCUCAUGCACGAAAGCGUGGGGAGCAAACAGG
rnacentral:rRNA from 1 species